UCCAAGGCUGGCCUAGGGUGUCUUAUGCUGCAUGCAGAGGAUUUUUAGAUCAGCUGCUGGCUUCUGGUGCCCUUCUCCGGCAUCCCUUGAAUGUUUAUGAAACACCCAUCAUAUGCCAGACCUUGUGCCAAGUGCUCAGGAUGCAAGAGAUAAAGAUUUGAGAAAUGCAUUGUGUGACUAAGGUGACAAAGAAACAACAGCAAUUCACUGGGCUAAGUGGUUUGUACAACAACCAGGAGAGAGCAGAUUAAUUCUGUCUAGGAGCUCAGGAUGGCACUUGAACCAGACUUUGAAAAAUGUGCACAGGAUUUUGCCAUCAGAGAAACAAGGUGAGGACAUGUUAAGCAGAGAGGACUUUGAACCAA
rnacentral:lncRNA from 1 species